rnacentral:rRNA from 1 species
AUUGAACGCUGGCGGCAGGCCUAACACAUGCAAGUCGAACGAGUGGCGGACGGGUGAGUAAUGUCUGGGAAACUGCCUGAUGGAGGGGGAUAACUACGGGAAAGGGUGGCAAAUACGGAAAACCACAGGAGGGCCCCAGAUGGGAUUAGCUAGUUGGUGGGGUAACGGCUCACCAAGGCGACGAUCCCUAGCUGGUCUGAGAGGAUGACCAGCCACACUGGAACUGAGACACGGUCCAGACUCCUCCGGGAGGCAGCAGUGGGGAAUAUUGCACAAUGGGCGCAAGCCUGAUGCAGCCAUGCCGCGUGUAUGAAGAAGGCCUUCGGGUUGUAAAGUACUUUCAGCGGGGAGGCGUUACCCGCAGAAGAAGCACCGGCUAACUCCGUGCCAGCCGCCGCGGUAAUAC